UACGGGGGGGGUAAGCGUUGUUCGGAAUUACUGGGCGUAAAGGGCUCGUAGGCGGCCAACUAAGUCAUACGUGAAAUCCCUCAGCUUAACUGGGGAACUGCGUGUGAUACUGGAUGGCUUGGAUUUGGGAGAGGGAUGCGGAAUUCCAGGUGUAGCGGUGAAAUGCGUAGAUAUCGGGAGGAACAUCUGUGGCGAAGGCGACACCCUGGACCAGCACUGACACUGAGGCACGAAAGCGUGGGGAGCAAACAGG
rnacentral:rRNA from 1 species